rnacentral:rRNA from 1 species
UUUAAGGUCUAAUCUGCCCUAUGAGGAAUUAAAUGGCCGCGGUACUCUGACCGUGCAAAGGUAGCAUAAUAAUUAGUUUUUUAAUUGGAAGCUGGAAUGAAUGAUUGGACGAGAAAAUAGCUGUCUCAAUUUAAUUUAAUUAGAAUUUUAUUUUUAAGUAAGAAAGCUUAAAUUUUUUUAGAAGACGAGAAGACCCUAUAGAGUUUUAUAUUUAUGUAAUUAUGAAUUAAUUAGAAUUUUUUUAUUUGUAUUUAUAUAUGUAUUUUAUUGGGGCGAUAGAAAAAUAUAGUUAACUUUUUUUUUAUUAUUACAUUAAUAUAUGAAAUUUUGAUCCAUUAUUUUUGAUUAUAAGAUUAAAUUACCUUAGGGAUAACAGCGUAAUUUUUUUUUAGAGUUCUUAUCGAAAAAAGAGAUUGCGACCUCGAUGUUGGAUUAAGAUAAAUGUUUGGUGUAGGGGCUAAAUAAUUAGGUCUGUUCGACCUUUAAAAUCUUACA